rnacentral:misc_RNA from 1 species
GAUGAAGAACGCAGCGAAAUGCGAUAAGUAAUGCGAAUUGCAGAAUUUCCGUGAGUCAUCGAAUCUUUGAACGCACAUUGCGCCCACUGGUAUUCCGGUGGGCAUGCCUGUUCGAGCGUCAUUUACACCCUCAAGCCUAGCUUGGUGUUGGGCGUCUGUCCCGCCGUUUUCGCGCGCGGACUCGCCUCAAAGUCAUUGGCGGCGGUCGUGCCGGCCCCCUCGCGCAGCACAUUUGCGCUUCUCGGAGGCCCGGCGGAUCCGCGCUCCAGCAAGACCUUUCACGACUUGACCUCGGAUCAGGUAGGGAUACCCGCUGAACUUAAGCAUAUCAAUAAGCGGAGGA